UCUUCCUUAGCUCAGUUGGUUAGAGCACCUGACUGUUAAUCAGGGGGUCUCAGGUUCAAGUCCUGAAGGGAGAGC
rnacentral:tRNA from 1 species